AGAGUUUGAUCCUGGCUCAGGAUGAACGCUAGCGACAGGCCUAACACAUGCAAGUCGAGGGGCAGCGGAGAGGUAGCAAUACCUUUGCCGGCGACCGGCGCACGGGUGAGUAACACGUAUGCAAUCCACCUGUAACAGGGGGAUAACCCGGAGAAAUCCGGACUAAUACCCCAUAAUAUGGGCUCUCCGCAUGGAGGGCUCAUUAAAGAGAGCAAUUUUGGUUACAGACGAGCAUGCGCUCCAUUAGCCAGUUGGCGGGGUAACGGCCCACCAAAGCGACGAUGGAUAGGGGUUCUGAGAGGAAGGUCCCCCACAUUGGAACUGAGACACGGUCCAAACUCCUACGGGAGGCAGCAGUGAGGAAUAUUGGUCAAUGGUCGGCAGACUGAACCAGCCAAGUCGCGUGAGGGAAGACGGCCCUACGGGUUGUAAACCUCUUUUGUCGGAGAGUAAAGUACGCUACGUGUAGCGUAUUGCAAGUAUCCGAAGAAAAAGCAUCGGCUAACUCCGUGCCAGCAGCCGCGGUAAUACGGAGGAUGCAAGCGUUAUCCGGAUUUAUUGGGUUUAAAGGGUGCGUAGGCGGCACGCCAAGUCAGCGGUGAAAUUUCCGGGCUCAACCCGGACUGUGCCGUUGAAACUGGCGAGCUAGAGUGCACAAGAGGCAGGCGGAAUGCGUGGUGUAGCGGUGAAAUGCAUAGAUAUCACGCAGAACCCCGAUUGCGAAGGCAGCCUGCUAGGGUGCGACAGACGCUGAGGCACGAAAGCGUGGGUAUCGAACAGGAUUAGAUACCCUGGUAGUCCACGCAGUAAACGAUGAAUACUAACUGUUUGCGAUACAAUGUAAGCGGUACAGCGAAAGCGUUAAGUAUUCCACCUGGGGAGUACGCCGGCAACGGUGAAACUCAAAGGAAUUGAC
rnacentral:rRNA from 1 species